ensembl:lncRNA
GUAAGUGAUCCUGUGUACACUAUAGCCACGGCCAGUGAAGACCAGAAAGGAAAUGGCUCAACAUCAGAAAUGGAUGUGAUUUUGUCAGUGGAAGUAAAAUGAAAGGAGCAUUACCACUGGCUUUGCUGCUGCACCUUCAGAUCCACAGGACUUUUCCAUCUAACUGGUAUGAAAAAACAACUUCAGAAGUACAAGAUGAGGGAAGCAUGCUCUGGAAAAAAAAAAAAAAGUCUGGGAAUUUUAAUAAACUACAAGCUCCAUGAAACAGUAUUGAAAUGUGGCAACAACAAAACAAAGUCUAAUGUAAUCUUGGGCUGCACUGAGAAAUGUAACUUCUGGAGACAGUUAUAUCUUCUGAAUACGGGACAACUUGGUGCUCCUUGACACAUUGGAGAAGCCGUUGAAAAUUGAGUGGAAACGAAAUCAAAGAAGCAGAUAAAGUUCACUUGCUGUUGUGGGCCCUGUGCCUCUCCUCCCCUGCCCAGCAGAGACCAUGUACUGCCUUCAGUGGUUACUGCCUGUUCUGCUCAUCCCAAAGCCCCUCAACCCAGCUCUCUGGUUCAGUCACUCGAUGUUCAUGGGCUUCUACCUUCUGAGUUUCCUCCUGGAGCGGAAACCAUGCACGAUCUGUGCCUUGGUCUUCCUGGCAGCCUUGUUCCUUAUCUGUUACAGCUGUUGGGGGAACUGUUUCUUAUAUCACUGCACUGGCUCUCAUCUCCCUGACUCAGCUCACGAUCCCAGGAUAGUGGGGACUUAGGAUCCUCACAUGCUGCUAAUUGAUUGGCUUUAAAGAUGAGAACCCAAGGGUAAAGGAUGUUCACAAUAUGAUUGAUCACAGGUUUCCUGCACAUCUGUGUAGACUAGAUUAGUACAUUCCUGAUUGGGCAUCCUUCACCUGUGAUGUGUCACUUCCAGUUUUUUAUGAUGUGAACAACAGCACCACCAGGUACUUUUGAUUUGAAGCCCAGCAGUGGUCAGUGGUUGUUGCUGUUUUUCUUCCCUGCCUUCAUUCCUACACCUCACUGACUGGAUGAUCACCUUUCCAUCUCAGAUCCUGCCAGGGGACCAGACCCAACAUGGCCAGUCUAACUCUGUUGAUCCAGAGAUCUCUGCCCUGUGGCAGUAGCGUUCAUAUCUUGUUUUACCUAAAUGAACUUUGUCCAGAGUGCAAUUAGUUUCCUUCUCUCCAGCCUCUCAGCCUUAUAUUGCUCAUAGGGCCAGUUGAAUCAAUACAGGUCUCAUAAUUGUAGAAACUCCAGCUUUUCACAGAAGCCUCUGGCACCUGGGAGCUUCAGCUUCCUGCUCAGUAGGCUAGAAUGAAAUGUAUUUUGGCAGUUCAAUGCUGUUCACAUUUAAUUCUCCUGUUUCUUUUUUUUCAAGAAAUGAGAUCAUUUGUGGACUAGUUCCUGGGUAUCAGAACAUCUCUCCUUCACAGUGCCACAUCCCUCCCCAAUUUCUAGAAUUUACAGGGUUCUCAUUUCUUAGGGGAAGUACUAUGAGCUAUUGGGUUGGGUUUUUUUUUUUUUUUUUUUUUAAUCUUUGUCCCAAUUCCUUUAAAUCUGCUGAUUCCCACACAACUGGGUUGGGAAGCAGAUCUGCGCUUUCAAAAUGGUGAUGAGCAAUCAGUGGUUUUGGGUAGGGGGUUAUCUUGGUUUUUAUUAGCUGGGAAGGAUGUAUGUUGUGUAUUUGAAUUGGGAAUUUAUCACUAGCACAGUUGGUAUCUCUACAAUGGCAGAGAUUGUUGGAAGGACGCAAGCCCUGGAACACAUCAGCCUGAAUGAAACAACUCAGGAGAAGUGAUAAGAAGUAGCCACUUUCGUGCCAUACUGGGACCCCUAGGCUUUGUCGCUUCAAAGAUUCCAUAGUACAAACAAAUAUCCAGGAAGGAAACUUUGUUUUUCUUAGUAUGCUUCCAGUCUGAUCCACUUACUCAUCUCCCCUUGGAUUGACUGAGGAGUGGGAGGUGACCUGGGCAGAGGACUGAACUUGGUGCUUGUCACCUGGGGAAUUGGACCUAACAGCAACAUUUUUGAAAUUUAAGGGCUGCUGGUUAAAAACAUUGUUUUAUUUUUGGUUGGCUCAAUUGCACAGCUGUUUAAGAUGUUUAAUAAAAGCUUUAUAAACUUUGGUUUUUGGGCUCUUGAGUGAUU